UACGUAGGGAGCAAGCGUUGUCCGGAAUCAUUGGGCGUAAAGCGCGCGUAGGCGGCCUCAUAAGUCCGUUGUGAAAGUCAAAGGCUCAACCUUUGAAAGCCGAUGGAUACUGUGAGGCUAGAGUCCGGAAGAGGCGAGUGGAAUUCCUGGUGUAGCGGUGGAAUGCGCAGAUAUCAGGAGGAACGCCAAUAGCGAAGGCAGCUCGCUGGGACGGUACUGACGCUGAGACGCGAAAGCGUGGGGAGCGAACAGG
rnacentral:rRNA from 1 species